rnacentral:lncRNA from 1 species
AGGGUCUUGGAUUACGGAAUAGCUCUGCUCCUUGGCCUGCGAGGUCAACGAUGCUCAGAAUGCAACCCGGCAUGUUUCCGUACUCCUGGAGGCCUAUCUCGAUCCAAUCAGAAGGAUGGGCUUCGAGGCGAUGAAGCUCGCGAGCAAUAUCGAGACGACGUUUCUCUAGUUCCAUUCUUCUUUUCCUAAUCUCAAUUUUCUCACCUUCGAGCUCGUUGUGCCGAGUGAUAAGCUGAAGAAAAUAAGACGUUUCGUUUAGUAAUAACAAAAGAAGUCAAGACACUAGGUUGAACAAUACCUUGGUAAUAAACUCUUCAGCCUUGACACGAUCUUGAGCUGAUAAUCUCUCGAUUAACAUGAUCAGAACCUGAAUGCUGGUUCCCCACCGUAAUGUACGUGAUUCUUCUGGUUCGCCAGUUGCUUCCGUUUUUACGAGCUCGAUGUCUGACGUUCCCGAAAGAUCAUUGCUUAUCGUUUUGAAUGAGUCGGAGGGAUUCUC